UAUUGGACAAUGGGCGAAAGCCUGAUCCAGCAAUGCCGCGUGAGUGAUGAAGGCCUUAGGGUUGUAAAGCUCUUUUACCAGGGAUGAUAAUGACAGUACUUGGAGAAUAAGCUCCGGCUAACUCCGUGCCAGCAGCCGCGGUAAUACGGAGGGAGCUAGCGUUGUUCGGAAUUACUGGGCGUAAAGAGUACGUAGGCGGUGAUUCAAGUCAGAGGUGAAAGCCUGGAGCUCAACUCCAGAACUGCCUUUGAAACUAGAUCGCUAGAAUCAUGGAGAGGUUAGUGGAAUUCCGAGUGUAGAGGUGAAAUUCGUAGAUAUUCGGAAGAACACCAGUGGCGAAGGCGACUAACUGGACAUGUAUGACGCUGAGUACAAU
rnacentral:rRNA from 1 species